ensembl:lncRNA
CGGGCAUCUCACUGUCCCUGCAUGCAACGCGCUCACUCUCAACCCUAAGCUUUUGCUCAUGCCACCAGGCCUUCACCUCACCUAGGCAAUCCUACCGAUGCCCUGGGACACAGUCUAGAGGGGCCCACGGGGUCAGUGCAGACUAGAGUCCAAACCCCAGGCUGCUCUCAGUCAUCUGCUGCAUGCCCUGGACAAGACACUGACAUCUCUGGGUCCUCAUGUGUAAAGCAGGAUAAAACAGUAUCACCUAACUUGCAGGACUGACAAUGCAUCUAAACCCAUGCUUGGCAUAUAGUAAAUUCUCAAAAGCUCAUAGUUUAUUGUCCUUGCUUUCCCCAAACAUUGGAUUUACUGUCUGUGCCAUUCUGGUAUUUCAUUGCUUUUCUCGCCCCUUCCCCAACCAUUUUGUACAUUCAUAUUGUAUCUCCUGAAGCAGACGGGUUCCUGAGCAGGGACAAGGUCAUCUACUUCUACGAACCCAGACCCUGCCCCAAUACCCAGUACAGUUCAAUAUGUGGAGGAGGACCCAACAGAUGACAAAUUAAUGAACAAAUUAUUCCAGGAAGUCUAAAGAGUUGGUAAUAAGAAAAACAACGCAGAGCCAAGGAUGAGGCAGAGAGUAAGGAGAGAGAGCAGCAGUUGAAGCAGGAGCACUUGAGCAUAAGCAUGGACCCACACAGGCUCCCAUGGAGACUGUCCCUGGAGGAGAGGAAACCCAAAGUCUCAGCAGUCCAUCCAAGAGUCCUAAGCAUCGUCCAGGAGAGUACUGGCUGACACAGGUGCUCCCCGAGUGCCUGGCAGAACUCUAGAUGCUUACGACCACACAAACUAACACUAUUACACCACUGCACAGAUGAAGAAACUGAGGCCCAGGGAGGUUAAAGAACACACCUAAGGUCACACACCCUAAUAAACAGUGCAGUACAGUCUAGCUCCAGAGUUCAUGCUCUUCACCACCACAGACUUCGGGUUUUUAAUCUAAUGGAGCUCCCUCAUUUACCAGCUGAGAGGUCUCAGGCAAGUCAUUACCUCUCUGAGCCCCAUGUUUCCCAGCCUAAGUGGGCAUCAUAUACUGAAUCCAUAAGACUGCUGUAAAGGUUAAAAGAGAUCAUGUCACUGAGCGUAUUUAUAAAGCAGACUCCCGAUAAAUUCGUUCCCUUCCCAUCUUUCCCAUGCCUCAAUCUAAGUAAGGUUUUUAGCCACAUCUCUUGACCUCCUUUACUCUCAGGGAAUGAUCCAUACUCCACCCUGGACUUUCCUGCCUACUGCCUAUGCCCAAGCACGUGGACCUCAUAAAGCCUGCAGGGACAGCCUGGAGACCAGCAUGAAGGAAAGCUACUGCCCACGGAGCCGAGUGAGGGGCACAGAUGGAGAUGGCCCAGAUGACCGCUGGGUGCAAACAAACCGCAUGACAAAGGCUGGCCGGCCAGGUGCGGCCAGGACACACCCUGACCCAUAGCUGCAGCAGCACCUGGUCCUGUCUGCCAAAGCAGCAAGCCCGAGGACAGGCCUGGAAGCCUGGACAGGCAGAGCCCAGCAAUAUCUGUGGCUCAGAGGCUACACGUACGGUGGGGACAGAGAGGGCAGGGAAAGUGACAGGCAGUCAAUUCCACAAUGGUGGAAAAUCAGGCUGCCUGAAAAAGUUGUAUGUAGGAAAGUAAAAUUUUAAAUUCCAAGAGAAGGAAUUCUCUUGCAAAAUCCCUUUACUGUGAAGAAUUAAAUUUAAAGCCAAGAAGUACAGAGACACUAUUAUGUUCUGAAAGUCAAUGCACAUUUCCACACAUCAAGUUUGUUAAAGUGAGCGAUACACUGAAGGUGAUGAACCCUUCUCUGGGGUCACUGUUCAUGGACAGAGAGAAUUUUUCACUUGCAGCAUGUGAAAGAGUCCUAAAUGUUAUCACCAAAUGGAGUCAAUUCAAUUAAUAUAGCAGGGAGCAGAGGUCAAAAGAUGCUUAACUCAUUUUCAGGGGACAUAAGUAAUUUCUAUCUGAAUGGACCUGAUCAAAGUGAUCCAAAGGUCUUAUAAAACAAGAGACUAGAAUACUAGCAAAAACUGCAUCUCACUAAGGAUCUCGAGCAAGAAGUCCCACUGGGCAUCUCCCUACAAUAUAUCAGCUUGAAAUACAGCGCAUGACACAGAGCUACUUCAGGGAGAUGGAGGAGUGGGAGGGCUGGUAGACACCACUACGAGGCUACCACCAGGUUCCAAGGUCCCUGUAGGCACAAGAUUGUGGUCCUAGAGCUAGAAAAGAGCCUUAGAGGUAAUGUGGUCUAAUGUAAUUCCCAAAGCGUCAGUUCAGCAGCUCCAUGCCUGGGACUACUUUCACCCCUGCUAGAAAACCUAGACAGGGCACACCUGGGCAGCACCUCCUCUAGCAAGGGCCACUGGUCCCCGGAGCACCUGUACCUCCAGGCAAGCAGUGACUGUGCAAGAACAAGGGCGCCAAGCCCAAGCCUGACAGAUCCAGUGUGAUGAGCCUAAGGGGAGCCUGGCGAACGGGAGUGGCCCCACCCUUUCCUGCAACCAAGGUGCAGGACUGGUCCUCAGAGAGCAGCUGCACAGUGACCUUCUGUUUGCAAAAACUCAAAUAUUCCAGAAACAACAGCACAGGAAGUAGGUAAAUUCUAGAAAUUCUCAAUCUUAUGUGCGUGAAAUUAACAAACCGAAUCACAAAGAAACACUUUGCCAGUUAAUAUAAAUUUUCCUACCACUCCAUGUUCAGGGCUCGCUAGCCAGUUAAGUCACUUCUGACAACGUGGUUUUCUGCAUUUGUGUCUGCCUCCCCUAGAAAUACGGGGACCUCUUGUAGGUCUUGUAGGUGGACACCAUCUCAUUAUCUGGCACUUGCCUUACAUAUAAGCUGCUCAACAAAAAUGUGCUGAAAGAAAGUCUCAGAGUAAAACCUAAAGCUCAUAGGUUCAGAAAACCUGCCUGUUCCUGGCUCCCUGAGGCUGGCUGAGGCUCAGGCCCACAGUGUGCAGUGCAUCCUGAGGCUGAUUCAAGUUGCUAUCUCAGGAAUUUCUUUCCCCUGCUCCAUACUGUCCUUUUCUUUCCCGUUUCUUCUUCCUGUAGCUCCCUCAACAUUCCACCUUAAAGCGAGGUAAACACACAGGAUUUCGAGUCAUCCAGCCUCUGCAAUUUACUGGGUUUAUGAAUCUUCGCCUCUCUGGAACAGUUUCUCUGCUGUAAACGGGAGUGAUGGUACUCCCCCAAGACUAGAAAUGUGUGCGUACAGAGCACUUGGCAUGCAUCUAGCCCAUGGGAACACUCAAUAAGUGACAGCCAUCAUAAUAUAACCGUCCACAGGACCCACUGGUCUAAAGGUGCUUAAAAUGCCAAAGGCAAAAAGUUGAUCUUUUUUCCCUCCCUUUGCAAGUCUGGUUUUGAGAAAAGCUAUCCAUUUUGGAACAAACUGACACAUGCCCAUGUCACUAGUUAAAAUACUUCCCUUUUCCUUUUUUACAGGGAAAUAAAUGACUCCAACCAGUCAUGACCAAAAUGGGUAAAAGGUUCUCUUCCAAACAGAGGUCAGGACCUUAAACUAGCUUGUUUAAACAACUAAACUAACUAAAUAAAUACAAUGAAAAGGAUCCACGGAGCAGCUGAGCUGGGGCCAUGAGGGCUGUCCUAUCAGAACCCCAUGCCAAGAAAGAGGAGAGGAGGGAAGGUGAAGGGAUCCACACCUUUUCUGGGAGCACAGCUGUAAUCAACACUCUCUCCAGAGUCCAUGGCGCAGCCCCUGGGUCACUAAGACCCUCGCAUGGUCCUGAGCGCCCCUCUGAGAAGCCCACCGGGGCCUGUGUUCUCCAAAUGCUUCACGCUUACCUCCCCUGACUCCACCCCAACUCUCAGGGAAUAUGCCAGUUAACCUAAACGCAUCUCUCUGGUGGCAUUUCAGACAGAUAACUCAAAAGGGAAGAGGGGAAAAUGUGAAACGGUGGAGGGGAGGCUGGAAGAGAGGAAGGGGUGAUGCCCAGGAUGGAGAUAACCCUGAUAGGAGUAAGUCUGCCCAAGUCAGCUGCCCUAACUGGUCUGUGAGAGCACAACUAGUCUGAACCCUGACUCUACCACCUUCUAACUGAGACACUCAGAAAGUCACGAGCUUUCUGUGCCUCAGCCUCCUCAUGUAUAAAGCGAGGAUCAUGACAGCACCCCCUCUCAGGCUGCUGUGAGCACCGAGUACACACAUGCAGACAUUCAGAACAGAGCCCAGUACACAGCCAAUUGUCUCUAAGUGUCUGUGGCUGUCAUCACUGCUAAGGUCAUUAUCAUCAUGAUGCUCCUUCCCCACUGCCUUUCCUUUCCACUCACAAGCCAACACAUCUCAAUCACAACAAGGCAGCUGUGCUUGGAGGCAGAGACAUGGAGGGAAGGCAGGGAGGAGUGUGGUUGGGACCUUUAAAGGCUGGGGACAGCCUGCACUGAAGGUUUGUUGUCGUAACCCAGGGACUGCAGGCGCCAGGAGUAGGUCCUGCCUACUCGCAGCCUUCCCUGCGGACUGCUCUGGCCCUCCCGAGCUCCAGCACUGACACAGGGAAGGCCUCCCCGACUCAGCCUCCUCUCUACUCCAAUCAGCAACAGAAAAGAGGCGGGGCAGGAAAGAGGACAAGGCUGGGACCAAUCAAAGUUGCAUUUUGCCUUUUACAUAGUUAUUAUUUUAAAGCAGUUAAGGAAAAGUCAAUAAAAGCUACUAGUUAACCACUUGACCAUGCUGUCCCUCUCCUUCCAGAAUUAACCAGACCCGAUCCUUCACUAGACACAGAUCUCUGCAGACCUGUCUAAGGCAGAAGGACUCCUUCCCUGGCUUUCAAUCACACACCAACACACGCCUGGUCCUUCCUUCUAUGUGACAGACAUGGUGCAGGCACUAUGGAGGGAGGCACGGACACAGCUGCUCCUACGGAGGAACUGCUACCUAGCAGAAGCGCCCGCCCUUCCUGUUCCACCUGUCAGCAAGGGACAAACCAACAGUCCUACUUCUCCUCCUCUAAUCUGAUUAGCACCACUUUCUUUUAAGUUGUGACAAUUUUCUCUCCUCUGUGAAACUGACUCGUCAACGACAGAAAAAUCAACGAACUGCAGGGUUUGGGGCCAUAGCUUCCCUGUCUUACCCCCCAGUUUCUUGAUAACGACGACUAUAAGCCUGCUCAUCUAUAAAGAGAGCUAAAGCCACUCCAAGAAACAGCAAGUCACGUACAGCUGAGCCCCAGAGGGCCAGGGAUGCUGUUCUGUCCACUGGGGUAUCCCAAGCACCUCGGUGCCUGACACCAUCGACCGCUUCACCCACUUCCACAGGGUCAGAGCUGAGUUUUGAAAGGUAGAACCAAAGAUGCAGGAGGGGCGACUGCAGGGAAGGGAAGUCCACUAAGAGUCUAGGUAAGGGGGCCAGUCGGGUGGCGCAGCGGUUAAGUUCGCAUGCUCUGCUUCGGCAGCCCGGGGUUCGCCGGUUCGGAUCCUGGGUGUGGACAUGGCACCACUUGGCAAGCCAUGCUGUGGUAGGCGUCCCACAUAUAAAGUAGAGGAAGAUGGGUACGACGUUAGCUCAGGGCCAGUCUUCCUCAGCAAAAAAAGGAGGAUUGACAGCAGAUGUUAGGUCAGGGCUAAUCUUCCUCAAAAAAAAAGAAUCUAGGUAAGUUUCCAAACACCACCCUACCAUUCCCACAAUGUGCUGCAUUAUUUGUGGGAGCUGAAGACCCAAAAGGAAGCAGAUUUUCAACUUUGCCAUCUAGAGUAGAAACUGAGACCUUAUUUACUGCACAGAUUUUAGCCCAAAUGCCAUGCCUCCAGGUUUACAAUUUCAACCCACAGCUCAAGGUAAACAGCCUGCAUACUGGGGUGUCCCUGGGUUAGAAUAUCACAAAUUUCCUCUGUCCACAAACCAUCUCGAUUCUCUAGUCCCUAUCCUCCCCAUCUGGUCUUAUUAAAUACUUUGCACUCACCAAAUAGAGAUGUUUUUUCAGCUCUGAUUAUUUUCCCUAAAGGAAUGAUCCUCCACCUGGCUAGAGGAAUGCUUCUGGCACAGGAACUAUCCAGGUUGUGAAAACUCUUCUGCGAUGAAAAGCAAAGCCCUAGGAUAAGCACAGGCCCUCCGACCGGGGAAGCAGCAGCCACAGGUGUCAGGGCUCCGAGGUCUGCUCCUUAGUCACCACUAAAGCAUGGGGUGAAGGGCACAUGCUUUGGAACCAGCCUAGGUUUGAGUGCCAGCCCUGCUUUCUGUCUCUCCCUUGACCUGAGAUCUCACCAGACACUAGCUCGUCAUCGGUAAAACUAGGGAUAAGAAUGAGUCCUAGCUGGUACACUGUUGUGAGGAAUCAAUGAAGGAAUGCACACAAAGCACCCAGCACAGGCCCCCACACAUAAGCACUCCAUAAACGUCAACUACUAUUAGCUAUCUAGUAAUGGAAAAGCACAAUGGUCUGGUAUCUUUAAGUCCUUUAGCUUCCCCAAAAAGAGGGUUUUUUUCCUACAAAAGUAUCAAUGAAAUGUAAUAUAAGAAGGAAAACUCAUUUCAAGUCCAGCUCAGACAGCAACACACCUGCAACUUAGAACAAUGAUCACCUCCAUCUAUAAAAUGGAAAUAAUACACUGCACUAAGCUUUGAUGACCUCAGACACAAGUAAGAAUCAAUGAGAUAAUAGGCGAUGAAAAAGCUUUCACUUCUUCAAAGAAAAAGCAAUAAGUAAAUCCAGAGUGUGAUUAUUAUUAAAAUGUCACACCCAAUAUUAAGGGACAUAAAAAAACCAGUGACAUUUCUUACUCUUUCAAGAACAUUAGGUUUGAUAGCCUUUUAAUCUGUUCACAUGGAGCCUGCUACAAGUAGGAGGAGGGAAAUGGCUGCUCCUUGCAAAGCUCAGUUUACCUGCAAAGCCCAUCAAAUCUGAGUCUGCCCCUGCCUGCUGGUCAGGCCUCACCAUCCUGGGCCGUUUCUCAGAUGCCAGUGCCACGAGCAAUCAGGAGAGCUUCCUGGUUCCACUUGGACAGUUAACCAACAGCAACCAAAAUCCUCACCCACGGGACUACUCAACAGGCUCAAGAAAGGGUUGAUUCUGAUCAUUUGCUCUUCUGUACUGACUGCUGUAAGACUUCUUCUAAGGUACACACCAUUCUUUCUGAAAAAAUGCAACACAAGAACCAGGCAGAGCUCAAUUUUUCCUUGUUGGAUGUUUACUUCUAGGUCUAGAGGUUUGAGUUUCUUCCUUUUUUUUUUUCCAACACUUUUUGGUGAGGAAGAUUGGCCCUGAGCUCACAUCUGCUGCCAAUCUUCCUUUUUUUUUCUCUCCCCAAAGCCCCAGUACAUAGUUGCAUAUCCCAGUUGCAAGUCAUUCUGCCUCUUCCAUGGGGGACAUCUCCAAGCGUGACUUGAUGAGUGGUAAGUCUGUGCCCAGGAUCCGAACCAGCAAACCCUGGGCCACCAAAGCGGAGCGUGCAAACUUAACCAAAUGGCCACGGGGCCAGCCCCUUGAGUUUCAUUUUUAAUCUAUCAUAACAACUUCAGGAUGAGAGCUACAGGUUAAGGUGGGAAGAGGAUGGAGGAGCAGUAAUCUUCCCAAGUCAAGAAGGGACGUGCAAUCAAAACUGCAUCCAGGGCUGGCCCGGUGGCGCAGCAGUUAAGUCCCCACAUUCCGCUUUGGCGGCCCGGGGUUCGCCAGUUCAGAUCCCGGGUGCGGACAUGGCACCGCUUGGCAAGUCAUGCUGUGGUAGGCGUCCCACAUAUAAGGUAGAGGAAGAUGGGCACGGAUGUUAGCUCAGGGCCAGUCUUCCUCAGCAAAAAGAAGAUUGGCAGCAGAUGUUAGGUCAGGGCAAAUCUUCCUCAAGAAAAAUUUUUUUAAAAAACUGCAUCCAAUUUCAUCACCCACAGGUCUCCCAAACCCAAAGAGAAAAGAAAUUUACCUAUGUUUAUUAAAGAUCCACUAUGUGCCAAGCACUGCACUAACUGCUUUAUAGACAUCACUCCAAGCCCAUUUUCUCUCCCACCCCCAGAAAUAGCAUGAAAAAGCAGUCAGCGGAUGGGAACCAUGGUGGGGGGGGGAGGGAUCGCAAUCUGGUAGUCAAGCUCUAGACGUGUCAAAGGUUAGCAGUGUGAACACAAAAAGGAGUCCUGGCUAAGAACCAGGUCCAAGUUCCUAAAGAUUCUUUGCAAGAGGAACACCCAACCUAUGUUUUUCCUAUAAUUCUGGAAUUACCUCACGCUACUAUCAAAAAAGUUUAAAAAUUUUUUAAACCUGGAGCGUAAGAACAACUCACUGUAGGGCUAAACAACCUGAGCCAAAUUGCUGCUCCGAGGGCAUGUGACCAUCAAAUGUGGAAUUUACAAUAUCCUCCUCACAGCUCUUUACAGAUGUGCUCACAGGCAAAAGCAACCACAACAAUGAACCGGCCUCUGUGUGGCCAGGUAAUCAGAGGACAGGGCCUUCCCACCGGCAGCAGCAAAUCGAAAGAAGAUGUCUUUCUCACCAUAGAACCAUCUCUCUCCCACCGCUGGGGUAUAAGCCGUCAUCCUAAACGACUGUCUACAUAGCAAACUGUCACAGGGGUCCAAAUACAUACUGGUGUUCUGAUGUUUAAAUGCCAUUCUCUCCAUCCACAUCCCACUAAAAAAGAAAAAAGUAAUAUGCCUUAAAAAAAAGACACUAUUGACAAUUCACCUCCAUUCCUCUGCAUUGACCCACUUCAUGUAAACCAUAAUUAAUGUCUGCGUUAAACAGCACCGUUAAAAGAAUAUAAAUGUGGUUUGUAUUCCUCCAGACGCUCUCCCUGAAUUAAGACUCUGGAGAAAAACCAGCCCAGAUAUCGGCCUACCGCUGUCCUUUAACGAGAUGAGGUACAGAGGCCUUGCCUGAGGGGCCCGACAAACCGCCGUGAGGACUCGUUUACCACGCAUGCCGCCCCUGCAGAGCCAGGGCUGUCCCCACGUCUGGCCUUCUGCUAACCCAGGCAACCCUCCUCGUGUUCAGGGACCCUCGAGACGAGUGGGAGACCGGGAAUUUCCAGCGGACCGCGCAGACCUCCAACAGCGCGAUCACCUUGUAAGGCAGUUAGGAAGGGGCGGCUCGCAGAUAACUGACGUCACCGCACCCAGGCCACCACCAUCGCAGCAAUAGAUAUAAAAGGAAAAAGCACUUCAGGGUUCUCUCGUGGCCGCCCGCCCACAGCGACCUCAGCAACCCAAACUCGGCCACGCCAGACUCCAGACCACGGACUCAGGACCGGAUCUACCCGCGGAGGCCGGACGGGCGCGCACGGGGCGACGGAGGGGCCCGACGCCGCCCGAGGGGGCCGGGCGGGCGCACCCAUCCUCCGGCCUCGAACCCCGGAUGAGGCGCGAGAUCUUCGCCGCCGCAGACGCGGGCAGCCUCGCGGGAACUCGGGCGCGCCCGCCCCCGACCGAACGCCCACCCUGGAGGUCAAGGACGGGGCCCGGGCCCGGGCAGCGCCAGGAGGGGCUGCCCGCUGGCACCGCGAGGGGAAGGGCUGGAAGGAGCCGCUAGGAGGAGGCGCCGGGCGCGCGCGGCGGGUCCUCGGCGGGAGGUCUUCAGCCACAGGUCGGGUCGCGGCGGUGACCCGCUCGGAGCUGCCGCCGGGGCCAGCUGGGCGCCGGGCCACCCCGCGCUCGCGACGCCUGCGGGAUGCGCGCCCGCCGGGCGGCUGGGGCCGGGCAGGUCCCGUGUCCUGUCCUCACCUCCGCCUCAUGCUGGCGUGUCCCGGCGCCGGCGUCCCCGGGGCCGCCCCGGGUCCCGCUCCGGGCCCGCAGCCCCGAGCCCCGCAGCCCCGCAGCGUCCGGCGCGGACACAGCAGAGGCAGCUGCCGGAGCCGCGUCGCCGCGGGAGGCUGGGCGGGCACAUGGGAGGGCGGAGCUGCGGCCCUGGAGACCGACCACAGGACCCCAGCCUCGGGGGCGACAGACCUAAGCGCGCCUCCAGAGCCGGCGCGCAGCGCCCGUCCUCAGCGCCGCCGUCCUACCUGCGGGCUCAGAGUCUGCCAGAGUCUCAUGGUUGCAGGCGAAAGCCUCAAAACAACCUUGUGAGAAGGGCUAGGAGCAGCUUGUUUACGGAUGAGGAAGAAAACUACAGCUCAGAGAGGCUGACCAAUUGGCUGCAGUAACAAGGAGGUUUGUUCACCCAAACGAAGACUUGAUGGUACUCACCGAUUAGGGCUUCAAAAGGCAUCUCCUGCAUGAGUGAGAAACGCUGGACUCCGGGGUCCGCCGGUCCUCAGUACACAGGUGCUGCUGCUAUGGCUGCACACAUCCCAGCGCUGCACACGCCACCUUCCGGCUGGACGACCACCACCAGAGGAGAGCAUCGGGAGGCUCCAAGCCAUGAAUGUGAGGAGUGGAACUGACAGCAUCAGGGCUGUGCUCAGAGGUGGCCCCUGGUCAUCAACUGGAGUCCCUCCAUCACACCACUCUGCGUUAGUGUCUGUGCCACCUACGAAUCUGCAGGUGUUUUGCUCCAGUUCUAGAAUAAGAGAAGGGGAUACAUUUUUACUGAGCCCUGACAACGUGCCUGGGCUUUUCAUGAGUUAUUUCAUUUAAUCCUCCUGUCGAGCUCUGAGAUUUUAUAUCACUGUUUUAUAAAUUAAGAACAUAAGAGCAUAGGGGCCCCGCCCGGUGGCGCAGCAGUUAAGUGUGCACGUUCCGCUUCUCGGUGGCCCGGGGUUCGCCGGUUUGGAUCCCGGGUCUGCACAGGGCACCGCUUGGCAAGCCAUGCUGUGGCAGGUGUCCCACAUAUAAAGUAGAGGAAGAUGGGCAUGGAUGUGAGCUCAGGGCUAAUCUUCCUGAAAAAAAAAAAAAGAAGAAGAACAUAAGAGCAUAAAGAAUAAGUUACUUGCUUGUGUAAGGCUGUUCAGCUGGGUAAGUGGUAAAGCUGGAAUUCCUACCCAGUUCUGUUUGAUGUGAUAGCUGAAGGCACCAGGCCAUCUGGGUAUGGCUCAAAUGGAUAUUAGGGAAAACUUCCUGGAACGUCCGGAAUCACUGAUAAUUUCUCCCACCUCUCAUCUUCUGAUUUUAUCUAUUUCCACUGUUUUGUUUAAAAACAAAUUCAUAUGUUGAAAUCUAAUCCCCAAUUGAUGGUAUUUGAAGGUGGGGCUUUCGGAAGGUGAUUAGGUCCUAAGGGCCGAUUACUCAUGAAUGGGAUUAGAGCCCUUACAAAAGAGACCCCAAGAGCUGCCUCACCCCUUCUGCCUUGAGAGGACACAGUGGGAAGACUACUGCCUUUGUGCCUCACCAAGGCUGAACCUGCCAGCGCCUUGGCCGUAGACUUCCCAGCCCCCAGCAGUGGGAGAAAAAAAUUUCUAUUGUUUAUAAACUGCCAGUCUGUGGUGCUCUGUUAUAGCAGCCUGAAGGGACUAAGACAGAGGAUACAUAUAUAUACACACAUAAAAUUGUAUCCUGCUUUUCAUUUUAAAAACCUUGUGAAAAUUUUCUCCUCCAUUAAGUUUCUUUAAAAACAUUCUUCUAGGGGCCGGGGCCCCAUGGCCGAGUGGUUAAGUUCGUAUGCUCCGCUUCGGCAGCCUGGGGUUUCGCUGGUUUGGAUCCUGGGUGCAGACAUGGCACCGCUCAUCAGGCCACGCUGAGGUGGCGUCCCACAUGCCACAACUAGAAGGACCCACAGCUACAAUAUACAACUAUGUAUCGGGGGGCUUUGGGGAGAAGAAGAAAAAAAUAAAAAACAUUAUUUUAGGGAGCCAGCUCCAUGGCCAAGUGGUUAAGUUCGUGCAUUCUGCUCUGGCUGCCUGGGGUUCACAGGUUCGGAUCCUGGGCGUGGACCUACCCACUGCUCAUCAUGCCAUGGUGUGCUGGCAUCUCGCAUAGAGGAACUAGAAUGACCUACAACGAGGAUAUACAACUAUAUACUGGGGCUUUAGGGAGAAUUAAAAAAGAGGAAGAUUGGUGACAGAUAUUAGCUCAGAGCCAAUCUCCAAAAAAA